rnacentral:rRNA from 1 species
UACGGAGGGUGCAAGCGUUAUCCGGAUUUACUGGGUUUAAAGGGUGUGUAGGCGGUUCUUUAAGUCAGUGGUGAAAUCUCCGAGCUCAACUUGGAAACUGCCAUUGAUACUAUUGAUCUUGAAUUCUGUUGAGGUGGGCGGAAUAAGUCAUGUAGCGGUGAAAUGCAUAGAUAUGACUUAGAACACCAAUUGCGAAGGCAGCUCACUAAACAGAUAUUGACGCUGAGGCACGAAAGCGUGGGGAUCAAACAGG